UACGAAGGUCCCAAGCGUUAUCCGGAUUUAUUGGGUUUAAAGGGUGCGUAGGCGGCUUAUUAAGUCAGUGGUGAAAGCCCCAAGCUUAACUUGGGAACUGCCAUUGAUACUGAUGAGCUUGAGUAGAUUUGAGGCGGGCGGAAUGUGUCGUGUAGCGGUGAAAUGCUUAGAUAUGACACAGAACACCAAUUGCGUAGGCAGCUCGCUACACGAAUAUUGACUCUGAGGCACGAAAGCGUGGGGAUCAAACAGG
rnacentral:rRNA from 1 species